UGAUAGGCCGGAUGUGGAAGUGGGGACUAAAGACCCAUGGAGCUGACCGGUACUAAUAAGCCGAUAAUUUGAUAACAC
rnacentral:rRNA from 1 species